GCUUGCUAUCAAAAUAAUCCAAACAGGGAAGAAACGUACAAGUAAACAAGAAAAGCCCCAUACUCAUCUGGCUCCCUGGAGACAGCUACUUUUUAGGAGUUUCAUUUGCCUUCUUCAAGAGAGCUUUCUUCCACUGACAUAAAAUGCCAGCUUGAUCGUACAGUAUAUCUGUCUAUUUACUUGGGUCCAGUUCUAGGUUCUCUCUUCUGUUUCAUCGACCUCUCUGCCUGCCUUGGUACCAGCCUGCCUCUAGUAUUUAUUGCAGCCUGAAAAUGUGCUCUAACUUUCAUGUGCUGAAACCUGUGUACAUCUUUUGAAAAACUUUUCCAGCUAGUCUGUCAUGGAGGUUAGCAAUUUGUUUGUGGUUUAACUAUGCACUUCACGGGAUUACCGGGGUUGUUGAACAUCUUUUCUAGAUGUAUGUCUUCUCUUGUGACUUCCUGACUGUGUCCUUAGCAAGGGCUGUCUGUCUGUCUUGUCUCUAUGUCUCUCUUGAUACCCAGUUAAGAAAUGUGACCAUCCUAAAAGCUAAUACAUGAUAUGGAAAGAAAGAAUUAAUGGGGCUUCAAAUGCAAUCUGAAUCCAGGCACCUGGACCGCAGCCUCAGCCCCAGCUGGAGCUUGGAGCUGACCUGUGUUCUUCUAGGAGUGGCAGGUGAGGAGGAGCUGCAGGGGAUUCAGCCUGAGAAGUCCGUGUCAGUCACAGCUGGAGACUGUGUCACAGCUGGAGACUGGUCAUUGCACUGUGACCUCCCUAUUGCCUGUAGGGCCCAUCCAGCAGUUCAGAGGAACUGGACCAGGCCAGGAAUUAAUCUACAGCCAAAAGGAAGGCAACUUCCCCUGGAUAAGAACUGUUUCAGACAUCACAAAGAGAAACAAGAUGAACUAUUCCAUCCAUAUCUGCAGCAUCAUGCCAGCAGAGCCGGCACCUACUACCGUGUGAAAUUCCAGAAAGGGAGCUUAACGUGGAGAUUAAGUCUGGACCAGGCACCUAGAUGUUUGUGCGUGGUACCCCUGUGUGCAACUCCCUCCUGCUCCUUGGCUGGAACUUUCUGCCAUCUAUGUCUUUAGGAGGAGACUUUCUUCCAGGUCACAGACCCUGCAAAGACAGUCCUCCACAGUGACGUAGGACCCUCAGUCCCUCCUGUCUUAUUCAGAAGGACUGGCCUCAGAAGAGGACCUGCCAUGAUGCCUGUAGCUGCUUCCCCAGUUUCUCUUGCCUCAUCAGCCUUCUGAGACCUGAACAGCACUGGCCAUCCCUCCCUAUCUCCUGCAGCCCCUAGAGGAAGGGAGCACCUAGAUUGGAAAGGUCAACAGUGAGAGGCAGAUUCUCAUGCCCUACCCAGGAAUGAAUUUUCUGUGGAAAGUCUGACUCAGAGUCCAUGAUGCUGAACAAGAAACCCAGCAGAGGCAGGACAGGCUCCAACCCUGAGAAAAAUAGAUACCUGCAUUUCUCAUGGCUCCUUCCUGGCUCAUCAAGGAAAGCCCCUUGUGGGCACCCAAGCUCUGCCAUGAAACCUCUACAGCCCCGUCAUUAAAAUUGAGUUCAAUGAAACACUUAUGGCCAAUAAACAUGUGAAGAAAUGGCCAACCUCAUUAGUAAUCAGGAAAAGCCAUGGUAAAACCACACUGAGAUGUCAUUUUGUCCCUGUUCAAAUACCAAAAAUAAAGAAGUCACUGGAUCUUUUUUGCAUUACUAGUGGGCACAUAAAUGGACACAACUGUUUUGGGAAACAGAUUGGAAAAUUUUGCUGUGUUAAACAUUCACAUACCCUAUAACUUGGCACUUCCACUCUCGGGUUACACCCAAAGGAAAUUUGCACAUGUACACCAGGAAAUAUGUACUAAUAUGUACAUGGAAGCAUUGUUUAAAAUUAGCAAAACCUGAGAACAAUCCACAUGCCCAUCUACAGUAUGAUGUGUGAUAAACUUAGUACAUUCACACAAUGGGAUAUUCUAUAGAAAGCAAAACUAAUUAACCACAGCUUCACACAGCAACAUGGAUAAAUUUUAGUCAUACAAUAUUGAUAGGGGCAAGUAAGCCCCAGAGGUUUCAUGCAAAAUGAUAGUCUUUUAAUAAAGCUAAAAACAGCUAACAUUAGUUUUUAGAAAUACACAGAAAUAUAAUGAAACCUAUAUAUUUUUAAAAGGAACAAGGAACACAAGAUUAAAAAUAGCAGUGACCUUGGAUGUAGGGGGACAGAAGGAUGAGAAAUUGGAGUACAUAAAGGUAGGUGGAAGUUAUCGUGAAGGUUCCAGCUUCCAUGAUGGAUGGUGGCUUCACAAACGUUUAUAUUAAGAUUUUUUUAAAUUGACAGAUUAACAAUAUAAAAUUGAUAUAAGUAUGCAAGUAGAUAGAUAGAUGCAUGGUUGAUUGGAAGGGACAGAGGGAGUGAGGGAGGAUGGAUGAAUGGAUGGACAAGAUGGAUGGAUGGAUGGGCAGAGAGAUGGGUGGACAAAUGACCAAUGAACAGUUGUAUAGAUGAAGAGGUAGGUAAACAAAUUAAUAAAAAGGGUCAUGCAUUGUCAAUAAUGAUAGUAUCAUACAGCAUGACUUAUGAUAGGUACAAUUCUGUGUACUUAAGAUUCAAAGGAAAAAAAAAUAAAUGGAGGGACAUUAUCUAGAGAACCCCAAGUUCCCUUCCUAUUGUGACAUUCUACAGUUCCAUAUAAGGAAGAAAAACAGUUACUGGGUGCCACCACGGGCCUGGGACUUCAAGUGCAGUUGUAUCUCAUUUCAUCCUCAUACCGGUUUUACAAGGUGGGCGCCGUGCUCCAUUUUGCAGGUGAGGCGACCUGACCAGUGUCACUUAGAUAAUGAGUGGUAGAACCAAGAAAUCCAGAUUCAAACCCAACUCUUGUCAUUGCUCUCCAAGAAGCCACAUGGCCCAGCAUUCUAGACACAGAUAAGGUGAUCUUCGCCCAUCCUCAAUCCAUUGCUUCCUGGCCUGUCAGCCAGACUGUUCUACAGUAAAGUCCACUUGGUGCCUAUGGGUGGCGAUGGGAAGGAAGAACAUAUGUGUGCCCUUUCCCAGGUUUGAAAUGUGGUCCUGGAGUAGAUCAAGGGUUCAUCAUAUAAGCACCAAAAUGGCCCUGUGAAGGCUUGGGAAGAUGGUGUAGUCCAGGAAAGUCUUUUACAGAAAAGGCUUUUUGUAAAAGGGUAAGUAUGCCCAGAGGAGAUAAACAUCCUGCUCUGUUAGUUUUAUUGUGACUUUGAACCUUUGUAGUCACAGAAACAGAGAUAUUCCCCCUCAGAUAGGCAUCUCCUUUUCAAAAUUUUCUACUUACAAUAGAGCUGCUUCAGCUUCAAUAUUCCCAUUCCUGGGCUCCAGUGUUGAGAACCUUGAGGAUAUCUUGGCUGUCUUCAAUGAUGAGGGUAUCAUGAAGCAAGAAUUAUAAUUUACCUCCCCCUUGAAGCAGGACCAGGACUAGGAUGAGGUAAAGUUCCUAGGAAACAAAAAGUAAGACACUCAUUCUGAGGCCUGAGCAAGGGCAGUGUCAGCAUGUAUAACACUUUGUGAUAUGGUCUGGCUGUAUCCCCACCCAAAUCUCAUCUUGAAUUGUAGUUGCCAAAAUCCCCAUGUAUCAUGGGAGGGAUCUGGUGGGAGGUAAUUGAAUCAUGGGGGAAGUUACCUCCAUGCUAUUCUCAUGAUAGUGAGUGAAUUCUCAAGAGAUCUGAUAGUUUUAUAAGGGGCUUCCCCCCACCUUCACUGUGUACUUCUUGUGGCUGUCAUGUGAAGAAGUACAUGUUUGCUUUCCCUUCUGCCAUGACUGUAAGUUUCCUGAGGCCUUCCCAGCCAUGCUGAACUGUAAGUCAAUUAAACCUCUUUCCUUUAUAAAUUACACAGUCUCAGGUUGUCUUUAUUAGCAGCAUAAGAAUGGACCAAUACAUCUUGCGUCUACAGUUUGUGCCCUAGGUGCCCUAAGUUUCCAAGUCCCAUUAAUCCUGUCCCCUCCUGUUCAUCUGCAUGGUCACCCAGACCCUUGUCAGUACUUACCUGGAUCACUCCAACAGCCUCCUCUCAGGUCUUGCUCAAAAUGGCCUUUUAAAACAUUUUCUUGGAGUUUCAGUGACUCACACAUGUAACCCCAACACUUUGGAGGGACAAGGCGGGAAGACCACUUGAUAACAAGAAUUCAAGACCUGGGUGUAUUUUGCCUGGGCAACGCAGUGAGACUUGGUCUCUACAAAAAAAAAAAAAAAUUAGCUUCGUGUGGUAACACACACCUGUUAACUACUCAGGAGGCUGAAGUGUGAGAAUCACUUGAGCCUGAAAGGAAGAGGCUAGAGUGAGCUGUGAUGGCAACAUUGCACUCCAGCCUGGGCAACAAAGCAAGACCCUGUCUCAAAAAUGUGUGUGUGUAUAUGUGUGUGUGUGUGUGAUAUAUAUAACAUUUUCUCAAAAACUUUAGCUAGUUCCUCAUUCCCCAAAUCAUGCUUCAAAAAGGACAUAGAGGAUGUCCCCAAAUCACAUUUCAAGAAGGACACAGAGAAUGUCCCAGGUGUUGCAUACUUUGAAGCCACAGGAAAAAUGAACCUGCCAGAAAAAUCCCAGCUUGAACAUAAAGAUUUCUUAUCCCUUUAAGGAAACCACCCAUGUCCUAAGCAAGCCCAGCUCAGAGUUUCCAGAUGAAUAUUUGUUCAUUGCAAAGAAGGGUAGGCCUUUGUUUAUUCCACACAUAUUCCUGAGCACACACUAUAUUUCAAGCAUUGUAUGGACACUGAGCAAACAUUAGUAAGCAUUGGUAAAAGUGGUCCUCACCCUUGUGGUGAGGGUACAGUCUGAUGAGGACAGAUAGAAAGGAAAGAAGGGUGGGAGUGAUACAGGGGAGCGAGGGAGGGAGCAAGGGAGAAAGAAAGAAUUUCAAAUGUGAUGAGUGCUAUGAAGAAAAUAAAAGAGUGCACAAAAUAAUGGGGAUUGCAACGAUAGAGAUCUUCACAGAGUUAAUAAUUAAGUGCUGCUAGCUAGACAGAAUGGUAAGC
ensembl:lncRNA